rnacentral:rRNA from 1 species
UACGGGGGGAGCAAGCGUUGUUCGGAUUUACUGGGCGUAAAGGGCGCGUAGGCGGCCUCUGCAAGUCAGUUGUGAAAUCUCCGGGCUUAACUCGGAAAGGUCAACUGAUACUGCAGGGCUAGAGUGCGGAAGGGGCAACUGGAAUUCUCGGUGUAGCGGUGAAAUGCGUAGAUAUCGAGAGGAACACCUGCGGCGAAGGCGGGUUGCUGGGCCGGCACUGACGCUGAAGCGCGAAAGCUAGGGGAGCGAAUGGG